UGGAUCUUUCUGUGACAAAAAAAAAAGUGAGAGAGGUUAGAUACAAUAAGGUCAAAUUUCCUUCGUCCUCUCCGAUUUCGACGACUCGCGCAGCCCGGCGGCCGGUAGGAGGCGCUUUCUUUUGUCUGUCUGAUCCGGGUUUGCUGUCAUUCCCUGUUCAGGUCUUUGGUUCGCAAGAACGAUGUUGGGAGUCGUUAGGCAGAGGCUGGGAUGCGGAACCAUGUUGGGGCGAGCCGUCGAGAGGCUUGGCCCGGCUGCAUCUGUUGCAGGGAAGAAUUACUCGACUGCUGCUAAAGAGGUAA